AACGAACGCUGGCGGCAGGCUUAACACAUGCAAGUCGAACGCGUGCAGCAAUGCACGAGUGGCUCACGGGUGCGUAACGCGUGGAUAUCUGCCUUUUGGUUCGGAAUAACCCCGGGAAACUGGGGCUAAUACCGGAUGGUUCCUACGGGAUAAAGAUUUAUCGCCAAAAGAUGAGUCCGCGUCCGAUUAGCUAGUUGGUGAGGUAAUGGCUCACCAAGGCGACGAUCGGUAGCUGGUCUGAGAGGACGAUCAGCCACACUGGGACUGAGACACGGCCCAGACUCCUACGGGAGGCAGCAGUGGGGAAUAUUGGACAAUGGGGGCAACCCUGAUCCAGCCAUGCCGCGUGAGUGAUGAAGGCCUUCGGGUUGUAAAGCUCUUUUGGCGGGGACGAUGAUGACGGUACCCGCAGAAUAAGCCCCGGCUAACUUCGUG
rnacentral:rRNA from 1 species